rnacentral:rRNA from 1 species
GACGUAGGGCGCGAGCGUUGUCCGGAAUUACUGGGCGUAAAGCGCGUGUAGGCGGAUGAGCAAGUCUGCUGUGAAAGCUCCUGGCUUAACCGGGAGUGGUCGGUGGAAACUGCUCGUCUGGAGGACGGUAGAGGUAGGUAGAAUUCCCGGUGUAGUGGUGAAAUGCGUAGAGAUCGGGAGGAAUACCUGUGGCGAAGGCGGCCUACUGGGCCGGACCUGACGCUGAGACGCGAAGGCGUGGGGAGCGAACGGG